rnacentral:rRNA from 1 species
GAUGAACGCUGGCGGCGUGCCUAAUGCAUGCAAGUCGAGCGAACGGACGAGAAGCUUGCUUCUCUGAUGUUAGCGGCGGACGGGUGAGUAACACGUGGAUAACCUACCUAUAAGACUGGGAUAACUUCGGGAAACCGGAGCUAAUACCGGAUAAUAUUUUGAACCGCAUGGUUCAAAAGUGAAAGACGGUCUUGCUGUCACUUAUAGAUGGAUCCGCGCUGCAUUAGCUAGUUGGUAAGGUAACGGCUUACCAAGGCAACGAUGCAUAGCCGACCUGAGAGGGUGAUCGGCCACACUGGAACUGAGACACGGUCCAGACUCCUACGGGAGGCAGCAGUAGGGAAUCUUCCGCAAUGGGCGAAAGCCUGACGAAGCAACGCCGCGUGAGUGAUGAAGGUCUUCGGAUCGUAAAACUCUGUUAUUAGGGAAGAACAUAUGUGUAAGUAACUGUGCACAUCUUGACGGUACCUAAUCAGAAAGCCACGGCUAACUACGUG